GCCUUGGUGGUGGAAUUGGUAGACACAAGGGAUUUAAAAUCCCUCGGCGUUCGCGCUGUGCCGGUUCAAGUCCGGCCCGGGGCACCA
rnacentral:tRNA from 7 species